rnacentral:miRNA from 1 species
AUGAGAUUGAGAGAGAGGAUGAGAAGGGAGGAUGGGAGGGAGGAGUAACAAAAGUGAAAAUAAAAAAUUGAAAGUGAAAACAGUUUCAAAUACAUUUCAAUUUUCCGUUUUUGUUUUCACUUUUGUUACUCCUCCCCCCCAUCCUACCCUCUCAUCUUCCCUCUCAAUCCCAUC